rnacentral:lncRNA from 1 species
GAAUCAGAAGGAGCCAGGGAAGGACAAAGAUUGGGGCUGAGCCCCUAUGACCCAAUGGCCAUUGGUGGCCUGGCCUUAUGGUCCCAAGACACCUGGUCCUCAGGCCAGAGACACCAUGGGCUUUGGUCGGGUCCCAGCCUCCCAGUAGUGUCCUGGCACUAGCAGGAGCUGACCCCUGAGCCACAACCGCAGUUCUGGGUUUGGGGUUUGGUAAAACCACCUCAAGGAUAAAGUCUUGGGAUCGGGUUUGCCAGGAACCAUGGUGCCUCCCAGAGAUGGUGUGUCAUUCCCACUCGCCACGAAAUGUGCACACAGGCUGUUCCCAUGUCCAUCCCAUCCCGCUGGACAGGAUGGAGGAAGUGAGGGAACAGGCAUGGUGGACAGCUGGGGUGCAGGGAGAGCUCAGGCUGCACCAUGCGGUUGCCCCUCCUGGGUGGAGUCUGUGCCCUCUACAGGAUCUGAGAAAGUCCAGUCCUGAGAUGGGACAGCGCUGCCCAGGGUAGGUAGCCGGGGCCUGAGAGCAGUCCCCCAGGGAGUGACCACAUCACCUGGCUGGGGUCCAGGGAGCUUGGGGUGAGACCCACCCAGUGCACUGAGGGUGCACCUGGAGCCCAACCCACCUGACACCCUCACAGCCUUCACAGGGUCUGACGUCCCACCAUGCACCUGCCUCUCCCUGCACCCCACUGCCCACCCUGCCUGUUCCCUGGCUUUCUCCAUCCUGUGCAGCCCAUAGACUGUGACCAUCUCUCCAGACACUCUGACCCUUUCUUCACCUUUGUCCUGUCAGAAUCUCUGAGCAACAUCUCCCAGGUCCAUCCAAACAACUGCUUUGUCUACUUUUGACCGGGCCAUUGGGCAUCACUGGGCCAUCCCAGCUGUCCAGAGGGCCCUCGAUAACGUGCAAUGCACCUGGCUUCUCCAAGCAGCGCUCAGCAGUCCCCACUGACCAGGUUCCUGCUGACCAGACCCCACACAUCAGGUCUUCCCUGACCACACCCUCACUGAUUAGAUCCCCAUCACCAGGACCCACUAACAAGACCCCUGCUUCCAGGCCAACAAUGACCAUGACUCCACUGACCAGGACCUUACUGACAAAGCCUCACGGACAAGGCCUCACUGAACAGGACCUUACUGACCAGGCCUCACUGACAAGGCCUCACUGACAAAGUCCUUACUAACAAGGCCUCACUGACCAGGACCUUAUUGACAAGGCCUCACUGACAAGGCCUCAUGGAUGAGCUCCUUACUGACAAUUCCUCACUGACCAGGACCUUAUUGACAAGGCCUCACGGACCAGGUCCUUACUGACAAGUCCUCACUGACCAGGACCUUAUUGACAAGGCCUCACUGACCAGGUCCUUACUGACAAGGCCCCACUGACAAGGCCUCAUGGACCAGGUCCUAACUGAGAAGACCUCACUGACCAGGACCUUAUUGACAAGGCCUCACUGACCAGGUCCUUACUGACAAGGCCCCACUGACAAGGCCUCACUGACAAGGUCCUUAUUGACAAGGCCUCACUGACCAGGACCUUACUGACAAGGCCUCACUGGCAAGGCCUCAUGGACCAGGUCCUUACUGACAAGGCCUCACUGACUAGGUCAUUACUGACAAGGCCUCACUGAUCAGAUUCCACUGAUCAUGACCCCAUUACCUGGCCCCACAGAUGAGGCCCCACUGACCAGGCCUCCAGGGAACAGGCUGCCACUGAUCAGGCCCCUACUAACCAGGCCUGAGGUGACCAGAUGCCCCUGACUGGGACCCUAGUGAGUAGGCCCCACUGAACAGGCACCGACUACUCAGGUCCCCGCUGACUGGGUCACCCCAUAGACCAGUGCUACAAAAGCCACCACUGACCAAGUCAUCACUGACCAGGCCCCCACUGAUGAGGUUCCAAUGACCAGGCUGCCCUGAUCAGGUCCCCACUGACAAGGGACUCACUGAUGAGGACACGCCCACCAGGCCCUGCUGACUAGGUCCCAUGUGACCAGUCCUCCACUGAAUAGCAGCCCUUGACCUGGUCACCAGUGACCCAGCCCAUGCUGACCAGGCCACCACUAAGCCCAGCUGACCAGGUCGCCACUGGUCAAGCCCCACAGCCCAGGUCUGCACUGACCAGACACCAAACAACUGGCUGCCAAUAGGUCCCCACUCGCCAAAACCCCCACUACUGGAUCCCCCUAAUGAGACCCUCCCUAAGCAGACCCCUGCUGGCCAGGCUCCCACUAAACAGGCCUCACUGACCAAGUCCCAACUGACUAGGUCCACUGAGCAGGCCCACACUGAUCAGGCCCCUCCUAACCACAUCAGAAGGCCAAGUGGCAAUCAGAUGUUUCAUAUGGCAGAAAUAGAAGCAAGACACAGAGAGAAAAGAGGUGCCACAGCCCAUUAUACAACCAGAUCACAUGAGAACUCACUAUCAGAUCAGCAUCAAAAUUAACCACUGGUGAAGGAUCCACCACACACACCACCGCCUACUGUUUCCAGGCAGAAGCCUCCUGCAGAGGCAGAGCCUCUUGGGAAACUUCCACUAUGGCAGUGCAGAAGGGAAAUAUGGGCUUGGAGCCCCCACACAGGAGGCCACCAUCCUCCAGACCCCAGAUUCAUAAGCCCACCAACAGCCCGCACCCUCAGUAUGCAAAAGCACUCAACACCAGCCCAGCCCAUGAGAGCAGCCAUGGGGGCUAAAGCCUGCAAAGCCACAGGAGCACUGCCCUAGCAGAGGUUUUCCAUGAGGAUGUGACUCUGCAGCAGGCUACUCCCGCUUCCUAAUACCCACCAUCCUCUCACCACCCUACUGACAACCCACUCCUCCCAACACUGUCCACUUUAUUUCCUUCCAACUCCAACCCCCUCCCAUCCAUGGUUAAAUCACCUUCCACCAGGCCCCAUCUCCAACAUUCAAGAUUACAAUUCACAUGAGUUUCUGUAGGGAAACACAGCCAAACCAUGUUAUUCUGACCCUGACCCCUCCGAAUCUCAUGUCCUUCUCACAGAGCAAAAUACAAUCACACCUUUUCAAAAGUUGCCAAAAGUCUUAACUCAUUCCAGCAUUAACUCAAAUGUAAAAGGUUCAACGUCUCAUCUGAGACAAGCCUACAGUCCCUUUUGCCUAUAAGUCCCUGAAUUUAAAAGGGUGUUCUUUUAAGACACAAUGAUGGUACACCCAUUGGGUAAGCUUUCUCAGUCCAACGGGAAGAAAUUUCCCAGCAAAAUAACACAGAUGGGACCACAGGACCAAUGCAAGUCCAAAACCCAGGAGACCAGUAUCCAUUCAAUCUCACUGCUCCAAAAUCAUGAAGAGAACUCACCAUCACAAGUACAGAAAUAAAGAGAUUGUGUCUAAUCAUUUGUGAAGGAGCCACCAUCACUUUUCACCCCUCACCCCCAACAUAAUCUCCCCAUUCUCCCUAUCCCCCACCUCCCAACCCCCACACUCCACCAUGAUUAAAUCACCUUCCACCAGGCCCCAACUUUAACAUUCCCCAUUACAAUUCCACACGAAUUUUGGUAGGGACACAGAGCUAAAUUUUAUUAUUCUGUCCCUGGCUCCCCAAAUCUCAUGUCCUUCUCACAUUGCAAACUACAAUGAUAGCUUCCCUACAGUCCCCCAAAGUCUUAUAUCAUUUCAUCAUUUAUACAAAUAUUCAAAGCUUAAAGUCUCAUCUAACACAAGGCUGCAGACCCUUAGGCUCAUGAGCCUCUGAAAUAUAAAGAAAGUUAACUACUUCCAAGGUACAAUGCUUAUACAGGCAAUGGGUAAGCAUUCCCAGCCAAAAGGAAUAAUUUUGCCAGAAAGAACAAAACACAGAAAGGACUUACAGACCCCAUGAAACUCCAAACCCAGAAGGCCAGUCAUUCAAUCCUACAGCUCCAAAAUUACCCUUUUUGAAACCUUGUCCCACAUCCAGGGCACAGGGAUGUAAGGGCUGGGCUCCCAAGGCCUUGGGCAGCUCUGCACCUGUGGCUUUGCAGGGUUUAUGCCCCACGGCUGUCUUCAUGGGCUGGGCUGGUGCACAGUCCUAGCAGAGGUUUUC